rnacentral:rRNA from 1 species
UAGGGAAUAUUGGACAAUGGGGGCAACCCUGAUCCAGCCAUGCCGCGUGAGUGAAGAAGGCCCUCGGGUUGUAAAGCUCUUUUGUCCGGAAAGAAAAGCUUCGGGUUAAUACCCCGGGGUUCUGACGGUACCGGAAGAAUAAGCACCGGCUAACUUCGUGCCAGCAGCCGCGGUAAUACGAAGGGUGCAAGCGUUACUCGGAAUUACUGGGCGUACAGCGUGCGUAGGUGGUUGUUUAAGUCUGAUGUGAAAGCCCUGGGCUCAACCCGGGAAUGGCCUUGGAAACUGGGCGGCUAGAGUGCGGUAGAGGGUAGUGGAAUUCCCGGUGUAGCAGUGAAAUGCGUAGAGAUCGGGAGGAACAUCUGUGGCGAAGGCGACUGCCUGGACCAGCACUGACACUGAGGCACGAAAG